rnacentral:lncRNA from 1 species
GGGAGACCCUACUCUGGAGCCCUGCCUGAGCCUGCAGACCUGGGAGAGGUAAACCCUGCUGCUCAGCUGCAGGUCUGGCCCUCAGGUCCCCGCAGGCUCACAGGGGAGAUGGCUUCACCUGGUACCUGGAGACGCUGCCUCCUGGCUACAGACACUUGACCAGGCCCUGGGGAGCCCCACCAGUGUCCCAGUCCUUCCCGGGAGGGUGAGGUGAGGUCUGAGCCGUGCCCACAGCUGCCUCCCUCCAGGUCUCCUCACACGGUGCGUCUCGCUCGGGAGCAGCUGGGCUCCGUGGACGAGCAUGCCGUCAGUGCCCCACCAUCCCUGGGGGACUCGGGGGUCCUGCCUACAGCUCUGGCAUUGCUGCCUUGGUCUCCCCAGCAUUGCAAGUGACCUCCUUGGCUUGGGCGCUGUGGUGGAGCCCUGGAGGCUGGCCACUAUCUGUGUGAUAAACGCUGCCUGCCCAGAAACCUCUGAGAAGAGGUGCCUGCUCUGAGCAAGUCCUAGGCCGUGGUCUCAGAUCAGUUUGGGCUCAGGCACCUGCAUCCCUCAGACCAGCAGGACCCAACAGGCAAGACUGGACACUUAGGUCUGUGGGCAGGAUACUGGCAAGUGCCAUGGGAACGCAGGCUGGGUGAUGCCGUGAUAAUCCUGUGGCGUGUAAGGAGGCUGGGCGUGUAAGGAGGCUGGGCGUGUAAGGAGGCUGGGCGUGUAAGGAGGCUGGGCGUGCUGAGGCCCGGCCACCCCAGAGCAGCAGCACAGCCACACGUCCCAGAGCACACGUCACCAGGCUGCUGGGUUUGUGGCGUGUGCCUCUGCAGGCAGGUGCGUGAGCCUUGACCCACUGGAGACAAGCUUCCUGCAGAACUCGCG